rnacentral:rRNA from 1 species
UACGUAGGGGGCAAGCGUUGUCCGGAAUCAUUGGGCGUAAAGCGCGUGUAGGCGGUUCGGUAAGUCUGAUGUGAAAGUCCAGGGCUCAACCCUGGGAUGCCGGUGGAUACUGCUGGGCUAGAGUACGGAAGAGGCGAGUGGAAUUCCCGGUGUAGCGGUGAAAUGCGUAGAGAUGUGGAGGAACACCAGUGGCGAAGGCGACUCUCUGGACUGUAACUGACGCUGAGGCGCGAAAGCGUGGGGAGCAAACAGG